rnacentral:lncRNA from 1 species
CAGUUAUAGCAAAUAUGGAUAUGCUUAAUAUCUAAUUCAUAUCCAUAUUUGUUUAGAAUAAAUAUGGAUAUUAAUUUUGAUAUCCAUUGAGUAUUUGUAUCCAUAUUUAUAUUCAUUGAAAAUAUAGAUACAAAUAUGGAUAUACCACUAUUUGAUCUAUAUUCGAUCCAUUUUCAGCCCUAUCAGCUGUGCAACUUGAACUAGUACAUGCCUAC